rnacentral:rRNA from 1 species
UACGUAGGGUGCAAGCGUUAAUCGGAAUUACUGGGCGUAAAGCGUGCGCAGGCGGUGAUGUAAGACCGUUGUGAAAUCCCCGGGCUCAACCUGGGAACUGCAUCUGUGACUGCAUUGCUGGAGUACGGCAGAGGGGGAUGGAAUUCCGCGUGUAGCAGUGAAAUGCGUAGAUAUGCGGAGGAACACCGAUGGCGAAGGCAAUCCCCUGGGCCUGUACUGACGCUCAUGCACGAAAGCGUGGGGAGCAAACAGG